UACGAAGGGGGCUAGCGUUGCUCGGAAUCACUGGGCGUAAAGGAUGCGUAGGCGGAUAUUUAAGUCAGAUGUGAAAAUACCCGAGCUUAACUUGGGUGCUGCAUUUGAAACUGGAUAUCUAGAGUGUGGGAGAGGAAAGUGGAAUUCCUAGUGUAGCGGUGAAAUGCGUAGAGAUUAGGAAGAACACCAGUGGCGAAGGCGCUUUCUGGACCA
rnacentral:rRNA from 1 species